rnacentral:misc_RNA from 1 species
UCCUUCUUAUCGAAGGCAGUUUUCGAAGAGUGCAUCCCUUACGGGAUUAGCAACAUCGAAUGGGGGUUGCGCUCGUUGCGGGACUUAACCCAACAUCUCACGACACGAGCUGACGACAACCAUGCAGCACCUCUGCAGACUCCCUUGCGGGUCGGCUCCUGUUUCCAGGUUCCUACCAUCUGUAGUUCAAGCCCAGGUAAGGUUCUUCGCGUUGCGUCGAAUUAAACCACAUGUUCCACCGCUUGUGCGGGCCCCCGUCAAUUCCUUUGAGUUUCAACCUUGCGGCCGUACUCCCCAGGCGGUUCAUUUAAUGCGUUAGCUGCGACGCGGAAGGGGUCGAUACCUCCCACAUCUAAUGAACAUCGUUUAGGGCUAGGACUAC